AUGGAGACUUGCAAGGGAGCCCCGAACUCCCAGGAGUCGGGCACUGAGGAUCCCCCGACAGAAGGUCAGCCAAAGUCCGCGCCCACGGUCACUCUGUUUGCUCCCUCCACUGAGGAGCUCAGCGCCAACAAGGCCACCCUGGUGUGUCUCAUCAAUGACUUCUACCCGGGCAGCGUGACGGUGGUCUGGAAGGCAGGCGGCACCACCAUCACCAGGGGCGUGGAGACCAGCCAGCCCUCGAAACAGAGCAACAGCAAGUAUGCGGCCAGCAGCUACCUGGCCCUGACGGCCAGCGAGUGGAAAUCUUACGACAGCGUCACCUGCCAGGUCACGCACGAGGUGACCACCGUGGAGAAGACAGUGUCACCCUCCGAGUGCUCUUAG